AGCUAAUAGAUACCCUGGUAGUCCUGGCAGUAAACGGUGCACGUUUGGUGUGGGGGGAUUCGACCCCUUCCGCGCCGGAGCUAAACGCGUUAAAAACGUGCCGCCUGGGAAGUACGGUCGCAAGAUUAAAACUCAAAGAAAUUGACGGGGACCCGCACAAGCGGUGGAGUAUGUGGCUUAAUUCGAUGCAACGCGAAGAACCUUACCUGGGUUUGACAUGCACUGUGUCCCCGAUGAAAGUCGGGUAGCAUAGCAAUAUGCGCUUUGCACAGGUGCUGCAUGGCUGUCGUCAGCUCGUGUCGUGAGAUGUUGGGUUAAGUCCCGCAACGAGCGCAACCCCCGGUGAUUUGUUGCCACCUGGUUUUCCAGAGCACUCGAAUCAGACUGCCUCGAUCAACGAGGAGGAAGGUGGGGACGACGUCAAGUCCGUAUGGCCCUUACACCCAGGGCUGCACACGUACUACAAUGCUCAGUACAAUGUGAACCGAUACCGCGAGGUGGAGGAAAUCCAUAAAACCUGGGCUCAGUUCAGAUUGUA
rnacentral:rRNA from 1 species